ACGAACGCUGGCGGCGUGCUUAACACAUGCAAGUCGAACGAGGGAAUUCUUUUCGGAGAAUAUACCGAGUGGCAAACGGGUGAGUAACGCGUAGGCAACCUGCCUUCAAGAUGGGGACAACAGUCCGAAAGGGCUGCUAAUACCGAAUGACAUGUCUGAACCGCAUGGGACGGACAGCAAAGACGGCCUCCAAACUAUGCUGUCGCUUGAAGAUGGGCCUGCGUCUGAUUAGCUAGUUGGUGAGAUAACAGCCCACCAAGGCGACGAUGCGUAGCCGACCUGAGAGGGUGAUCGGCCACAUUGGGACUGAGACACGGCCCAGACUCCUACGGGAGGCAGCAGUGGGGAAUAUUGCACAAUGGGGGAAACCCUGAUGCAGCAACGCCGCGUGAGUGAUGACGGCCUUCGGGUUGUAAAGCUCUGUCUUCAGGGACGAUAAUGACGGUACCUGAGGAGGAAGCCACGGCUAACUACGUG
rnacentral:rRNA from 1 species